CUGGAUGCCAUAUUAUCAUCAUGAUUAAACCCUUUUUGAGCGGUUUAAGCCUAAAGUUGUUGCCCACCCAACAUUUGUCCUGUCUGCAUCCUAGUCCUCCUUGGCCAUCACACGGUACAGGAAGGUUUUACUUUGGAUGCUGGUGAUAGGCUGAGAGCAUCAAAUCAUUCUGUAUUUUAUGGCGACUGGAGGAGGAGGAGACAGGACGCAGA